GGUAACUCGGGGCAGGGAGCCGGGGUAAUACGGAGGGUGCGAGCGUGAAUCGGAUGUACUGGGCGUAAAGCGUGCGUAGGCGGCUGUUUAAGUCUGAUGUGAAAUCCCCGAGCUUAACUUGGGAAUUGCAUUCGAGACUGGGAAGCUAGAGUAUGGGAGAGGAUGGUAGAAUUCCAGGUGUAGCGGUGAAAUGCGUAGAGAUCUGGAGGAAUACCGAUGGCGAAGGCAGCCAUCUGGCCUAAUACUGACGCUGAGGUACGAAAGCAUGGGGAGCAAACAGGAUUAGAUACCCUAGUAGUC
rnacentral:rRNA from 1 species